rnacentral:rRNA from 1 species
AACGAACGCUGGCGGCAUGCCUAACACAUGCAAGUCGAACGAGACCUUCGGGUCUAGUGGCGCACGGGUGCGUAACGCGUGGGAACCUGCCCUUAGGUUCGGAAUAACUCCCCGAAAGGGGUGCUAAUACCGGAUAAUGUCUUCGGACCAAAGAUUUAUCGCCUUUGGAUGGGCUCGCGUUGGAUUAGCUAGUUGGUAGGGUAAAAGCCUACCAAGGCGACGAUCCAUAGCUGGUCUGAGAGGAUGAUCAGCCACACUGGGACUGAGACACGGCCCAGACUCCUACGGGAGGCAGCAGUGGGGAAUAUUGGACAAGGGGCGAAAGCCUGAUCCAGCAAUGCCGCGUGAGUGAUGAAGGCCUUAGGGUUGUAAAGCUCUUUUACCCGGGAUGAUAAUGACAGUACCGGGAGAAUAAGCUCCGGCUAACUCCGUG